GGGGCCGUCCCGGAUUCGACAGGUUGGUGAAAACCGACCCGUGAUGCAGGUCGAGAGUGAGUCUACUCUCGUAAAUUCAGGCUCAACUUCAAAGGUAAGUGCGAAUAAUAUCGUUCCGUUUGCUCGUAAAGCAACACCUGUUGUUGGCUAAAAGCCUCUAGUUAGGCACGAGCGUUCAUAGUCUGACUCCGUUAAGAGCUAUGGACAAAACCCCAACGGAUGCGCACUUUAAUUGCCUCUGGUUGAUUGAGUGCAAAGACUUCACCAGAGAACCCCAUCAUCCGGAAUAAGGAUGAUUCCUGCCCAGAGGAUUAGAUGGGCUAAACCUGUGAAAGAACGGUAGGGAAAUAUCCAGCCUGGACAGCAGUUCAACUCUGCUCGGCUCCACUC
rnacentral:tmRNA from 1 species